GGUUAAGCGACUAAGCGUACACGGUGGAUGCCCUGGCAGUCAGAGGCGAUGAAGGACGUGCUAAUCUGCGAUAAGCGUCGGUAAGGUGAUAUGAACCGUUAUAACCGGCGAUUUCCGAAUGGGGAAACCCAGUGUGAUUCGUCACACUAUCAUUAACUGAAUCCAUAGGUUAAUGAGGCGAACCGGGGGAACUGAAACAUCUAAGUACCCCGAGGAAAAGAAAUCAACCGAGAUUCCCCCAGUAGCGGCGAGCGAACGGGGAGCAGCCCAGAGCCUGAAUCAGUGUGUGUGUUAGUGGAAGCGUCUGGAAAGGCGCGCGAUACAGGGUGACAGCCCCGUACACAAAAAUGCACAUGCUGUGAGCUCGAUGAGUAGGGCGGGACACGUGGUAUCCUGUCUGAAUAUGGGGGGACCAUCCUCCAAGGCUAAAUACUCCUGACUGACCGAUAGUGAACCAGUACCGUGAGGGAAAGGCGAAAAGAACCCCGGCGAGGGGAGUGAAAAAGAACCUGAAACCGUGUACGUACAAGCAGUGGGAGCACGCUUAGGCGUGUGACUGCGUACCUUUUGUAUAAUGGGUCAGCGACUUAUAUUCUGUAGCAAGGUUAACCGAAUAGGGGAGCCGAAGGGAAACCGAGUCUUAACUGGGCGUUAAGUUGCAGGGUAUAGACCCGAAACCCGGUGAUCUAGCCAUGGGCAGGUUGAAGGUUGGGUAACACUAACUGGAGGACCGAACCGACUAAUGUUGAAAAAUUAGCGGAUGACUUGUGGCUGGGGGUGAAAGGCCAAUCAAACCGGGAGAUAGCUGGUUCUCCCCGAAAGCUAUUUAGGUAGCGCCUCGUGAAUUCAUCUCCGGGGGUAGAGCACUGUUUCGGCAAGGGGGUCAUCCCGACUUACCAACCCGAUGCAAACUGCGAAUACCGGAGAAUGUUAUCACGGGAGACACACGGCGGGUGCUAACGUCCGUCGUGAAGAGGGAAACAACCCAGACCGCCAGCUAAGGUCCCAAAGUCAUGGUUAAGUGGGAAACGAUGUGGGAAGGCCCAGACAGCCAGGAUGUUGGCUUAGAAGCAGCCAUCAUUUAAAGAAAGCGUAAUAGCUCACUGGUCGAGUCGGCCUGCGCGGAAGAUGUAACGGGGCUAAACCAUGCACCGAAGCUGCGGCAGCGACGCUUAUGCGUUGUUGGGUAGGGGAGCGUUCUGUAAGCCUGCGAAGGUGUGCUGUGAGGCAUGCUGGAGGUAUCAGAAGUGCGAAUGCUGACAUAAGUAACGAUAAAGCGGGUGAAAAGCCCGCUCGCCGGAAGACCAAGGGUUCCUGUCCAACGUUAAUCGGGGCAGGGUGAGUCGACCCCUAAGGCGAGGCCGAAAGGCGUAGUCGAUGGGAAACAGGUUAAUAUUCCUGUACUUGGUGUUACUGCGAAGGGGGGACGGAGAAGGCUAUGUUGGCCGGGCGACGGUUGUCCCGGUUUAAGCGUGUAGGCUGGUUUUCCAGGCAAAUCCGGAAAAUCAAGGCUGAGGCGUGAUGACGAGGCACUACGGUGCUGAAGCAACAAAUGCCCUGCUUCCAGGAAAAGCCUCUAAGCAUCAGGUAACAUCAAAUCGUACCCCAAACCGACACAGGUGGUCAGGUAGAGAAUACCAAGGCGCUUGAGAGAACUCGGGUGAAGGAACUAGGCAAAAUGGUGCCGUAACUUCGGGAGAAGGCACGCUGAUAUGUAGGUGAAGUCCCUCGCGGAUGGAGCUGAAAUCAGUCGAAGAUACCAGCUGGCUGCAACUGUUUAUUAAAAACACAGCACUGUGCAAACACGAAAGUGGACGUAUACGGUGUGACGCCUGCCCGGUGCCGGAAGGUUAAUUGAUGGGGUUAGCGCAAGCGAAGCUCUUGAUCGAAGCCCCGGUAAACGGCGGCCGUAACUAUAACGGUCCUAAGGUAGCGAAAUUCCUUGUCGGGUAAGUUCCGACCUGCACGAAUGGCGUAAUGAUGGCCAGGCUGUCUCCACCCGAGACUCAGUGAAAUUGAACUCGCUGUGAAGAUGCAGUGUACCCGCGGCAAGACGGAAAGACCCCGUGAACCUUUACUAUAGCUUGACACUGAACAUUGAGCCUUGAUGUGUAGGAUAGGUGGGAGGCUUUGAAGUGUGGACGCCAGUCUGCAUGGAGCCGACCUUGAAAUACCACCCUUUAAUGUUUGAUGUUCUAACGUUGACCCGUGAUCCGGGUUGCGGACAGUGUCUGGUGGGUAGUUUGACUGGGGCGGUCUCCUCCUAAAGAGUAACGGAGGAGCACGAAGGUUGGCUAAUCCUGGUCGGACAUCAGGAGGUUAGUGCAAUGGCAUAAGCCAGCUUGACUGCGAGCGUGACGGCGCGAGCAGGUGCGAAAGCAGGUCAUAGUGAUCCGGUGGUUCUGAAUGGAAGGGCCAUCGCUCAACGGAUAAAAGGUACUCCGGGGAUAACAGGCUGAUACCGCCCAAGAGUUCAUAUCGACGGCGGUGUUUGGCACCUCGAUGUCGGCUCAUCACAUCCUGGGGCUGAAGUAGGUCCCAAGGGUAUGGCUGUUCGCCAUUUAAAGUGGUACGCGAGCUGGGUUUAGAACGUCGUGAGACAGUUCGGUCCCUAUCUGCCGUGGGCGCUGGAGAACUGAGGGGGGCUGCUCCUAGUACGAGAGGACCGGAGUGGACGCAUCACUGGUGUUCGGGUUGUCAUGCCAAUGGCACUGCCCGGUAGCUAAAUGCGGAAGAGAUAAGUGCUGAAAGCAUCUAAGCACGAAACUUGCCCCGAGAUGAGUUCUCCCUGACUCCUUGAGAGUCCUGAAGGAACGUUGAAGACGACGACGUUGAUAGGCCGGGUGUGUAAGCGCAGCGAUGCGUUGAGCUAACCGGUACUAAUGAACCGUGAGGCUUAACCUU
rnacentral:rRNA from 1 species